rnacentral:misc_RNA from 1 species
GGAAGUAAAAGUCAUAACAAGGUUUCCGUAGGUGAACCUGCGGAAGGAUCAUUAUUGUAUAACCGAGGUGCGAGGGCUGUCGCUGACCCGAAAGGUCGUGCACGCCCGAGUGCCCUCACACACAUCCAUCUCACCCCUAUAUGCACCACCGCGUGGGUCCCCCUUUGGCUUGUUCGGAGGGGGGCUUACGUUUUCACACAAACUUUGUAUGCAGUGUAGAAUGUAUUUUUUGUUUUUGCGAUCACGCAAUCAAUACAACUUUCAACAACGGAUCUCUUGGCUCUC